CAAACUGCAAGACAAAAAGAAAAGAAAAAAUCAAAAUUAAAUAUUCAACCAACCAAAAUUCACGUUUGCCGUAUCAGAAUUAUUCCAUGGAUCAUACUGUGUUUGAAGAACCACCAGCCACUGUUAAUGGAUGCAUUACAUACAUGUGAUUCUAUGGUUCCACUGAUAUUAAUGAAGACCUGAAUAUGCCAUAAAGUCAAUAUGAUGGCAAGGUUUUCCCCUCCCAUUAAAUUGCUUUAAUGAUGCAGACUGAAAAGGAAGAGGGCACUAUGCGUACAACGCAGUGCAGCUCUCAGAGGGAAAAUGCUGUGGAGUCAUGCAGAAAGCAUCCUUGCUGAUACAUACAAUAGAAGGGAGAAAGGUGUUUUUGUCAAAGAUUUGUGGCAUGCGUGCACACACAAAAUGAAGAUUUGUAAAUUUUGUUUUUGACUGGAUUGCUCUUGACACAAAAAGGCUCCACUGUUGUGUGACGCAGUAAGAGGGGAGGGAUAGCUGAGUGGUUUGAGCAUUGGCUUGCUAAACCCCAGGUUGAGAGUUCACUCCUUGAGGGGGCCACUUAGGGAUCUGGGGCAAAUCAGUACUUGGUCCUGCUUGUGAAGGCAGGGGGCUGGAUUUGAUGACCUUUCAGGGUCUCUUCCAGCUUUAUGAGAUAGGUAUAUCUCCAUAUAUUAUAAGGAAGCCUCAGAGACAAAUAGGUGCCAAGUUGUGCAAGCCUUGGGUACCCACAAACAAAACUAUAUAAAAUCAGCCACCAUUCUGACCCCUGGAAUAUCAAGGCACAACCGGAUAUAUUGUGCUAAACCUUUCAUUAAGAAGUCAGAAUUUCUUGGCACAAUGGCUAUUACUGGCAACACACACACACUCAGAACACUAGUUGCUAGAAAGUUCCAGACUUGUGCACAUAGGUGCCUGGACCCCGGCAAUGGGAUCCAGAGAGACAAGGACUCAAAGAACUCUGAAUGCUGCCAGUUUGUGUUAGAUCUUCAGUGAUUUUACUAUAGAACUUGCUUCUGAAGUAGUAACAUACGCACUGAACUCUUUCUACAAUACUGUCCUGUCAUCAAACAUUCUGACUAUUAUGAGGUUUUGUUAUACUGAGGCAGAAAACAUCCAUCGUUGCCUAAGGGAGAAAAUGCCUUUGUUAUGGAACAACAUGUCUCUCUGACAGAUGCUUUGUCUUUGAGUUUAUCACAACAGAAUUCAAGAGAUACAGGAACGGAGACACUUUGGUCCACAGAGCUCUAUUGACUUCAGAGGUACUUUGCACCAGGAUCUACCCACACAGAUUUCUCUUCAGGAUUGAGACCCAAAUAUGUGAGAGCAAGAAUGUGAAACAAACUACUUAUGUUGUUACAGUUCUAACAAACGGGCAAAAGAGAACGUAUUCCAAGUCAAAAGGGGAUAUGCCCUCAUAUCUAGGAACUAUGGGGUUGUACCACCUUAUUGACUUAAUUAUUUAUCUGCUUUAGUCAGUUUGUAUUACAAUCCCAAUAAACACAAUUUUAAAUAAA